UUGUAUUCCACCCCUCCUUUUUUUUUGUUCGAUGCCGAUGUUGUCUGGAGGUUCCUGGUCGUCGCCACAUCGGCUUGCUUUUCUUGUCAUCUUUCUUCUUCAGCCUCAAGGGCUCUGUAAUGCAUACUUAGUUAAUGACAUGAGAAGAAAAUUUUUCGUUACCUCUUUUACUCACGUGUUGAAUUGUUAUUUGCUGAGCUUCUUUCGGCUUUUGCCUUGCUUGAUAUCGAUGCCGUUCGGAGGUACCCAAUCACCGUCGCAUUGAUCCAUCCUUUUGUUUAUGGCC
rnacentral:lncRNA from 1 species